AACACCACCUGUGCAUUUUAGAAAUCACCACCAUCAUUAUACACCGACGGCGGUCUUCGUACGCUACCGUCGGUCUUCCCAUUCUUCCAUUGAUGGGAGCAUUAAGCGAAUCUUUGUGUGCUCCACCGCCACCAGAUUGCUACUCUUAACAGUUCUGGUGACGAUGUCCGAUCACAAAACCCUAAAUCAAUUUUCCCGCCGAUCGAUCUAUUGUGUAUGUUAAGGAUGUUCAUACGCUGUUUAACUGAAAGCCGGAACUUCAUACGCUACUGGCGCAUCUCAGAGUACUCCACCGGAUUGCUUCUAUUAACUGGACGAUGUCGAUCAAAACCCUAAACCCUAAAUCAGUUUUCCCGCCGAACUAUCUGCUCAAGGAGAUGAGGAGCAUUAAGCGAAUACCUGAGGUUAUUUGGAGGUUAUCUUGUUGUUGAGGAGUUGGUUCUCAACAACCUCAAUGAUGGUUCCAGCAGGGUGUACUAAUAUACCCUUUCAAAGUUUCAAUACUUUUUAUGACUUCACUAGUUUUAAUCGUUUAGACUAAUUUCACCUGCAAAUUUGUGUGUUGCUUGCACAAACGGCAGAGACUGGGAGAUGAGGAGCAUUAAGCAAAUACCUGAGGAUCUGGUGUCUCAUGAGAUGGAUUGGUGCUAAUGGGAGAAAAAUAUGGUAAUCUUUUUGCAAAAUGUUGGACUGACAUCAGCUUUUCUAUUGUAUUGAUGUUGCUGUACAUAAUUUAUUUUGCCCGACAAGUAUGAUGUUCAUAACUUGGAAUGGUUGUUGUUGUCUAUAGGAUUGCAUGCAUUACCUCAACUGAUAGGCUGUUUGACGGUUUGUGUUCAUUAAUACCUUUUUUCAAAUGUUCUUU